AACUGCGAGUGAAGCGGGAAAAGCUCAAAUUUAAAAUCUGGCGGUCCUUGGCCGUCCGAGUUGUAAUUUAGAGAAGCGUCUUCCGCGCCGGACCGUGCACAAGUCUCCUGGAAUGGAGCGUCGUAGAGGGUGAGAAUCCCGUCUUUGGCACGGAUGCCCGGUGCUUCUGUGAUGCGCUCUCGAAGAGUCGAGUUGUUUGGGAAUGCAGCUCAAAAUGGGUGGUGAACUCCAUCUAAAGCUAAAUAUUGGCGAGAGACCGAUAGCGAACAAGUACCGUGAGGGAAAGAUGAAAAGCACUUUGGAAAGAGAGUGAAACAGUACGUGAAAUUGUUGAAAGGGAAACGCUUGAAGUCAGUCGCGUCGACCGAGACUCAGCCUCGCCUUGGCUUGGUGUACUUCUCGGGCCGACGGGUCAGCGUCGAUUUUGCCGCUCGGAAAAUGACAAGGGAAAGGUGGCACCUUUGCGGGUGUGUUAUAGUCUCCUGUCGGAUGCGAGGGGUGAGAUCGAGGAACUCAGCACGCGCCUUUUGGUGUCGGGGCUUCG
rnacentral:rRNA from 1 species